UUAGUCACUCAGUUGUGUCCAACUCUUUGCGGCCCCAUGGACUGCAGCCCACCAGGCUCCUCUGUCCAUGGGAUUUCCCAGGCAAGAAUACUGGAGUGGGUUGCCAUUUCCUUCUCCAGGCAAUAUUCCUGACCUGAGGAUCAAACCC